UCAGACUUUGUGUAGUGGUAGCACGGCCCUGCUUAUUAAAGACUCAGUAACAUGCGGAGCAGUCCUGGGUUCGAUUCCCGGAGUCUGAG